CUCCUGCAAAAUGUCUUGAUAAAAUUGGGAAUUUGUUUUUCCUUCGAUGAUAGCAAUCCAUCCAGGCCCUGACGCAGCAAAGCAGCCCCAAACCAUGAUGUCCCCACCACCAUACUUCACAGCUGGGAUGAGAUUUUGAUGUUGGUGUGCUGUGCCUUUUUUCACCACACAUAGUGUUGUGUGUUUCUUCCAAACAACUCAACUUUGGUUUCAUGUGUCCACAGAAUAUUUUGCCAGUACUGCUGUGGAACACCCAGGUGCUCUUGUGCAAACUGUAAACGUGCAGCAAUGUUUUGUUUGGAUAGCAGUGG